UGCUUAUAUGAACAUAUACCUAAGGUGAGAAUGACUUUGUGGUGCUUAGUCAAAUAAAUAAACUUUGAGGUUCGGGCAUUUACAUUAAGGAAUAAUGUUGCCAAAAUGUGAAUCUAACAUUGGGAAUUUAGUGCAUUCCUAUUAUACAGUUAAAGGUGUAAUGGUGCAAAACUUAUAUUUCAUAUAUUAAACAAGGCAUUCCUAUUGUGGAAUAAAGGCACAAUCGUGCCAAUCAAAUUUUGAGAUGCAGACAUGUACAUUAAGGAAUAAAGUUGGCAAUAUGUGAAUCUAACAUUGCGUAUUUGGUGCAUUCUUAUUAUACAAUUGAAGUUAUAAUGAUGCAAAACUAAUAUUUUAUUUAUUAGACAAGGCAUUUCUAUUGUAUAAUAAAGGCACAAUGGUGCUUAUGUGAACAUAUACCUAAAUUGAGAACUAUUUUAUGAUGCUUAGAGAAAUAAACAAUAUUUGAGGUGUGCACUUGUAUAUUAAGGUAUAAUGUUGCCAAUAUAUGAAUCUAACAUUGGGUAUUUGGUGUAUUCUUAUUAUACAAUUGAAUGUAUAAUGGUGCAAAAUUACUAUUCCUUAUAUUAGAUAAGGCAUUCCUAUUGUGUAAGAAAGGCACGAUGGUGCUUAUGUGAACAUAUACCUAAGGUGAGCAGUACUUUUCGAUGUUUAAAAAAAUAAACAAACUUUGAGGUGUGGGCAUGCAAAUUAAGGUAUAAUGUUGCCAAUAUGUGAAUUUGACAUCUCAUAUUUAGUGCAUUCAUGUUGUAUAAUUGAAGGUAUAAUGGUGCAAAAUUGAUAUUUCAGAUGUUUGAUAGGGCAUUCCUAUUCUAUUAUAAAAGGCAUGAUAGUGCUUAUGUGAACAUAUACCCAAGGUGAGAGCCACUUUGUGGUGCUUAAAGAAAUAAACAAACUUUAAGAUGUGGGCAUGUACAUUAAGGUACAACAUUACCAAUAUGUGAAUCUAACUUCUCAUAUUUGGUGCAUUCCUAUUAUACAAUUGAAGGUAUAAUGGUGCAAAAUUAAAGGCACGAUGGUGCUUAUGUGAAUAUAUAUCUAAGUUGAGAACUAUUUUGUUGUGCUUAAAAUGAGUACACAAAUUUGGAUGUGUAGGCGUGUGCAUUAAGCUAUAAUGUUGUCAAUAUGUGAAUCUAACAUCAGGUAUUUGUUGCUUUCCUAUUAUACAAUUGAAGGUAUAAUGUUGCAAAACUAAUAUUCCACAUACUAUACAAGACAUUUUUAUUGUGUAAGAAAGACACAAUGGUGAUAAUGUAAACAUAUACCUAAGGUGAAAACUACUUUGUGCUGCUUAUAGAAAUAAACAAACUUUUGAGGCGUGGUCAUGUAUAUUAAGGUAUAAUGUUGUCAAUUUGUGAAUCUAACAUUUGGUAUUUGACGCAUUCCUAUUAUACAAUUGAAGGUAUAAUGGUGCAAAAUUGAUAUUUCAUAAAUUUCGUAAGGCAUUUCUAUUUUAUAAUAAUGACACAAUGGUUUGUAUCUGAACAUAUUCUGUGAUGUUUUAAUUUGACAUUUUGAUUGUAUAUUAAGAUUUAAUCGUGUCAAUUGAGAAUUCCUUAUUUUUAAUCUUGAUCACAUGUAACUGUUUCAUAUUCAUGAUGGAUUUGGUUGGUUGGUUACCUUACAAUGAGAACCACUUUGUGAUGUUUGGAGAAAUAUAAAAACUUUAAGGUGUAGGUGUGUGGUAUUUUUAUUAUAUAUUAAGGUAUAAUGGUGCCAAUUGGUGAAUCUAGCAUCUUGGUAUAUGGUGUAUUCCUAUUUUAGAAUCAAAGAUAUAAUGGUGCAAAAUAGAUAUUUAAUCUGUUUGACAUGACAUUCUUAUUGUGUAAUGAAGGCACAAUGGUGCUUAUGUUAAUAUAUAGUUCAAUGUGUUAUUUUGUUGAUAAACUUUAAUAAGCAUUUUUGUCAAAGAGAAGAAUUUGAAACUCAUGAUGGAUUUGAUUGGUUACUUUAAGGUGAGAACCACCUUGUGGUGUUUAGAGAAAUAAGAAAACUUUAAUGUUUGGGCAUGUGGUAUUCUUAUGAUAUAUUAAAGUAUAAUGGUGCUAAAAUGUGAAUAUGACAUCCUGUUAUAUGGUCCAUUCUAUUAUUAAUCUCAGGUAUUAUGGAUAUUUAAUCUACUUGAAUGGUAUUCCUUUUGUGUAAUAAAGACACAAUAGUGCUUAUGUGAACAUAUACCUUGGUGUGUUAAUUCGACACUUUAAUUGUACAUUAAGAUACAAUGGUUUUAGUUGAAAAUUCCUUAUUUUAAAUCAUGAUCACAUGGAAUUAUUUCAUACUCAUGUUAGAUUUGGUUGGUUACCUUAAGGUGAAAACCACCUUUUGGUGUUUGGAGAAAUAAAAAACUUUAAGGUGUAGGCAUGUGACAUUCUUAUUAUACAUUAAAGUAUAAUGUCAUCAAUACUCAAUCUAUUUUGGUGCAUUCCCAAAAUAGAUAAACUCAUAAAAGAAAAAUCUAUGGCUAUAGUCCAAAGGUCUAGUUGUACAUAGAGUGGAUGAGACAUUUGCUCCAAAUUAUAUGGGAUUUUGUUUUUUUCAAAAAAUUAAUAUGAUAUCUCCUUUAGGAUACCCAAGCUGAUGAUUAGAGAUUCUAAGAAUUAGGUCCAAUGGGAAAAACGAAUCAAGGAGAGGUCGCUUGGUGAACGUUGCAUAGAGUGCUAGCUCAUUUGUCUAUCCCUACGAUGUUAUACUAAAGCCAUAUCUCGGAAAUUCACAAGACCUCUUUAUUCGUAGCCUUUCAACAUUAGGCACUUGAUGCAUGGGGUUUGGGCUGGGAAAUCUGGAUGGAUGGGAUGGAGAUCACACAAUUCACCUACUUCCAGCAGAAUUCCCACACACCCACCCCCCCCCUGCCGGCCCCCCG